rnacentral:rRNA from 1 species
AGGCGUAGGUGAUGGACAACAGGUUGAUAUUCCUGUACUACCGAUAACCGUUUGAGAGAAGGGAUGACACAGUAGGAUAAGCUAAGCACCCUGUUGGUUGUGUGUGCCCAAGCAUUGAGGCAGUCAAAGUAGGCAAAUCCGCUUUGAUAAUGCUGGGAUGUGCUGGGGAGCGAAAUUUAGUAGCGAAGUAGCUGAUUUCACACUGUCAAGACAAGUCUCUAUCGCGGUUAAAGGUACCCGUACCGCAAACCGACACACGUUGGCGCGGAGAGUAUCCUAAGGCCCGCGAGCGACCUGUUGUUAAGGAACUCGGCAAAAUGACCCCGUAACUUAGGGAUAAGGGGUGCCACCAUCAGGUGGCCGCAGAGAAUAGGCCCAAGCGACUGUUUACCAAAAACAUAGGUUUCUGCUAAGUCGCAAGACGAUGUAUAGGAGCUGACGCCUGCCCGGUGCUGG